rnacentral:rRNA from 1 species
AACGUAGGAGACAAACGUUAUCCGGAGUUACUGGGCGUAAAGGGCGUGUAGGUGGUUUCGUAAGUCUGGCGUGAAAUAUCUCGGCUUAACCGGGAGGGUGCGGCGGAAACUGGAGUGCUUGAGGGUGGGAGAGGUAAGCGGAAUUCCUGGUGUAGCGGUGAAAUGCGUAGAUAUCAGGAGGAACACCGAUGGCGAAGGCAGGUCUCUGGGCAUUAACUGACGCUGAGGAGCGAAAGCAUGGGGAGCGAACAGG